GUUUGAUCCUGGCUCAGAGCGAACGUUAGCGGCAGGCUUAACACAUGCAAGUCGAGCGAGAAAGGGGCUUCGGCUCCGAGUAAAGCGGCGGACGGGUGCGUAACACGUGGAUAAUCUGCCUCGUGGCGGGGGACAACAGUCCGAAAGGACUGCUAAUACCGCAUGUCAGGUCGGAAACUCCGGUUUCUGACGAAAAAGAGGGCGUCCGCAAGGAGCUCUCACCACGAGAUGAGUCCGCGUCCCAUCAGCUAGUUGGCGGUGUAAUGGACCACCAAGGCUUAGACGGGUAGCUGGUCUGAGAGGAUGACCAGCCACACUGGGACUGAGACACGGCCCAGACUCCUACGGGAGGCAGCAGUGGGGAAUAUUGGACAAUGGGCGAAAGCCUGAUCCAGCCAUGCCGCGUGAGUGAUGAAGGCCUCGGUCGUAAAG
rnacentral:rRNA from 1 species